UAAACUGUGUCUCGCCUGCUAUGUAACCUUUGAAAUCUAAGACCUGGCAUUGUGAUCUGAAGAUAAACUGCCAGCAGGAGCCACAGAGGACUUCCCAUCCAGAAAAAUCACACACUGUAACUAACGCAACUGGCUUUCCUUUGGCUUGUGAAACAGGAAAAGAUUAAGAAGGAGAGAAUGAGGCAGGCAACAGAAAGAGAGGAGGAGAGAUGAGAGAGACAGAAGCUCUGCUGCAGAACACACCUCAUCUCCAUUUUAGCUGGAGGGAGAGAGAUUCAGUCAGUGUCAAUUUACUCUUCAGCUCAAGUGACAGAGAGAGAGAGGAAAGAUAGGGAAGUGAUAUCUCAGGAAUCUUCAAAAAUCCACAAACGUCUGACUGAGAGGGAGAAGAAGGAGAGAAAAAAAACAUUCUGGGAUGUGAAGCAUUUGCAAAGAAAGCAAAGGAAGAAAGGAGGAAAUGACAGAGAGAGAUGUAGUCGGUGCUUCAGUUGCGGGGUUCUGAAAACUUUCAAGCCUGACAGUUGCCCAUAAGUGAGCCGCCACGCUGGGAGUCCUUCACCUGUGGCCAGGAUGUGAGAUCGAUAGUGUGACAACAAAGGCCGCCAUCGAGCUACAGCCAGUCCCCGAUGUUCUACCACCAACCAAAGUUAUACAUAAAAAACAUUUGUUUGGGUCCUUGACUACAAGGGGAACUUAGACGUUUCAGGUUUUUUGAAUGAGGACAUUGAACCAUGUGAUCUUUUUUGCACACACACCUUGAAACUGUUAAUAACACAUCUUAAUACACAAUUCUGGUCCAAAUGAUUCAUCUCGCAUCAUCUUAACAAACUCUUCCUCACCUUGUCUGAAUCAGC
rnacentral:lncRNA from 1 species